CAGCUUGGCCCAGCAAAGCUCAAUAAAUGUUAGCAGCUAUUAUCAUCAUCAUUAUUUAUUAUUAUUGAUAGAAGACGACUGAGAAGAUCCCUAAGGAUCAGUAGCAGCAGAUGGGGGUCCUGGGAAGCAAGUGGUCUUCUUGGUAAACCACUCUGCCCCCUCAGCGUGCAGGUUUAACAUUCUGGGAGGGCUGUAUCCACCCUUUUCUUUCCUGGAGAGUGGGAUUCACAUUUUCCAAGGAUCCGGAGAACCGUGUGCCUCUGGUCCUCUCUCCUCAAUCCCCACGCGUGGUAACUUUAUUUGAUGGCCAUGUGAGAUGUUGAGUCUGCAGGCCAGUGGGGGAAGGAGACUCCUCGAGCCUUGUUUUUCCUUAUCUGUAAGUGGGGGCUAAUUAUAUUGCAGGAUUGUUGCAAGGAUUACAUACCAUUAAGUAGGCGACCACGCGUUCAGUUCCCGUGGAGCUCACAAGCAGCUUUGUAGCCCCUGUCUAGACCACAGUCUCCUGGAGGGAGGGCACCCCUCCCCCUCAUCUGUGCAUCCCCCACAGCGCUGAGCAAGGGCCUGGUACUUUGUAAGCACUUAGUCAAUAUUUGUUGAAUUGAAGAGCCACUAAAAAGACCUUAAGGAAUGGGAAACGGCAUUCGAGAGAAAGAAGCUGGAAUUGUUUAUCAAGAACAGAAGGGACCGAACAGUAACUUUAAUCAUGUUUCUUAUACGGCAGACAUUAACUAUCUCUAUCAUCGCCCCUCCUCCUCCCCAAAAAGAGAGACAGAAAUUGUAAGGGAGAGGCUCUGAGAUAAAACCCCAGGAAGAACUUCCCGAGUCUGUGCAUGUUGGGGCAGACAGCGGCAGAGCCAACUCCUUCCCUGUCUCCUGUUGGAAUCGCCCGUGCGCCCCACCCCCGCUCCUUCCCGCCCUCCCUCCCUCCGACAGCGCCCCCCAGCCUCCGCACGGCCCGCACCCCGCCCCUGGCGGCCGCCUCUCGCGGCGCCCGGGGUGUUAUCGUCCUGUGCCCUUAGCCCGAGUUCUGCUCUCGCGCGACUUUCACUCUCGCCACACCUGACUAGGAAUGCUAAUUGUAC
rnacentral:lncRNA from 1 species